rnacentral:misc_RNA from 1 species
CCGAGUUAGGGUCUUCUAGGCCCGAUCUCCAACCCUGUGUAUAUAUAACUUCGUUGCUUUGACAGGCCUGUCUUUGACCAGACUGCCGGGGGUCCCCUGGACCGCUGGAGAGUGCCUGUCAGUAGCCCCCAUUUUAAAUUCUUGAAUAAUCGUGACCUCUGAGUUGAGACAAGAAAUAGUUAA